CACAUGCAAGUCGAGGGGUAAGGUUCAGCUUGCUGAACACACGACCGGCGCACGGGUGAGUAUCGCGUUUGCAAUCUACCUCUAACUGGAGGAUAGCCCGAAGUAAUUCGGAUUAAUACUCCAUAAAGUCAUAAUUUCGCAUGUUAUUAUGAUUAAAGCUCCGGCGGUUAGAGAUGAGCAUGCGUGUCAUUAGCUUGUUGGUGAGGUAACAGCUCACCAAGGCAACGAUGACUAGGGGUUCUGAGAGGAUGAUCCCCCACACUGGUACUGAGACACGGACCAGACUCCUACGGGAGGCAGCAGUGAGGAAUAUUGGGCAAUGGGCGAAAGCCUGACCCAGCCAUGCCGCGUGCAGGAUGACUGCCCUAUGGGUUGUAAACUGCUUUUAUACGGGAAGAAUGGUUCCUACGUGUAGGGAUUUGACGGUACCGUAAGAAUAAGCAUCGGCUAACUCCGUGCCUGCAGCCGCGGUAAUACGGAGGAUGCAAGCGUUAUCCGGAUUCAUUGGGUUUAAAGGGUGCGCAGGCGGAAUAUUAAGUCAGUGGUGAAAUCCUGCAGCUUAACUGUAGAACUGCCAUUGAUACUGAUAUUCUUGAAUGUAGUUGAGGUGGGCGGAAUGUGUAAUGUAGCGGUGAAAUGCUUAGAUAUUACACAGAACACCGAUUGCGAAGGCAGCUCACUAAACUAACAUUGACGCUGAGGCACGAAAGCGUGGGGAGCGAACAGGAUUAGAUACCCUGGUAGUCCACGCUGU
rnacentral:rRNA from 1 species